UCUACAGGUCAGUGUGGAGCAGCAGGCCCCAUAGUGCUUCAACCCAGACAGCUCCUCACCCUUCCUGGUAACACCACCACCUCCAGUCCAGUCACCCUGCAGUGCUCCCUGGGUCCAGGCUUCAGCAUGCCCAGCUAUACCAUGAUGUGGUACCGACAGGUCCGCUAUGGAGGCCCAGUGGAGUUCCUCAUUAAGGAGUACGAGAAAACCCUGGGGCGAUACAAAGAGGACCUGGACACAUCGGGGAACAGGUUCAUCCUGCAGAUCUCUGAGCUGGUUGUGGAGGACAGUGGUGUCUACUACUGCGCUGCUAGUCACUCUGGUGCUUAUCCUGCCUACUUUGGAGAGGGAACUAAGCUAACAGUUCUGGAUCCAAACAUCAAAGUCACUGAACCCACAGUGAAAGUCCUUCCACCCUCCACUAAGGAGUGUGAAGACAGAAACAAGAAGAAGAAGAAGACCCUGGUGUGUGUAGCCACCCGCUUCUACCCCGACCACGUCACGGUCUACUGGCAAGUCAACAAUGUCAACACAACUGCAGGCGCCGGGACCGACAACAAGGCCUUGUGGGAUAAAGAUAGUUUAUACAGUAUCACCAGCAGACUGAGAGUCCCAGCCAAUGACUGGCACAACCCAAAGAACAGGUUCACCUGCAAUGUCAUCUUUUUCAACGGGACUGGAAAUACAACUGAGAAACACACCAUUCGUGGAGAUCUCCAAGGUCAAAUUGGGGGAGAGAUAACGACAGAUAACUAUGUGAAGAGCACCCAGACUGCCAAGCUGGCCUACAGCAUCUUCAUCGCUAAGAGUACCUUCUACGGCCUGGUCGUCAUGGUUAUGAUUUGGAAGUUCCAGGGCUCCUCAGAGAAACAGAUUUAACGGAACACAAGCGGCCCAAGGAGGAUGUCCUGCGUGGGUGUUGAUUCUUCCAUGGGAUCAAGGACGGACUGGCAAAAGGGCAAUUCUGGCAAAUGCCAAAUGGACUGAUUCAUCUUUAGCCCAGUGGGCCUGUCUAAAUUGGCUUUUUUUUAGCAAAAUAAUAAUAAGUUGGCCAGUAAAGAGGGCCUUAAAGGCAAAACAUGGGCAGGUGUGUUAGAAAUGCCUGGGCCGGUUUCUGGUCCCAGUUUGCCCCUGCGUGUAAUUGUAUUGUCCAUUGUGCUUAGUGUGUCCAUCAUCUCUUUAUUACCCUGUCUACGUGAAGAUGUGCUUUUUAGAAUCUCCUAUGAACAGGAACUUACAAUUUAAAUGUAUAUUUGAAUCAAUUCAACCAAAACAAUCUUUCCAUUAAUUUACAAAACCAAUGUCUGUUUGUUUUUCCAGUAAUUACAGUAUAGUAUGUAUGAAUACAUUCUGCUUUCUGAUUUCUACAUGUUCAUUUGUGAAUGAUAAACUGUAUAUAAUUAUGGACAGAUCGAAAUAUACCUCUCCACAGUUAAAUAUUUUCACGACCCUCCCCCUGGUAGAAUUAACUCAAUCUAAUGUUUACGACCACAAAUAACAAGAACUGUAGCGACCCUGUUUUUAUAAACGUGGAUAUCGACGUCGCCGCUUCAGCAAGCUUUUCUGGCACAGUUGACGCCACGCAGGGCUUUGGGCCAGAAGGUUGAGGGUUCACGGACCAUCACGGACGAGCUCACUCUCCCUGCCGGUUUCAUCACAUUACGAUCAGAGACUGAGGCAGACGAGCUCACUCUCCCUGCCCGUUUCAUUACAUUACGAUCAGAGACAUAGGCAGACGAGCUCACUCUCCCUGCCCGUUUCAUCACAUUACGAUCAGAGACUGAGGCAGACGAGCUCACUCUCCCUGCCGGUUUCAUCACAUUACGAUCAGAGACUGAGACAGACGAGCUCACUCUCCCUGCCCGUUUCAUCACAUUACGAUCAGAGACUGAGACAGACGAGCUCACUCUCCCUGCCCGUUUCAUCACAUUACGAUCAGAGACUGAGGCAGACGAGCUCACUCUCCCUGCCCGUUUCAUCACAUUACGAUCAGAGACUGAGGCAGACGAGCUCACUCACCCUACCCGUUUCAUCACAUUACAAUCAGAGACUGAGGCAGACCAAGAUCAGCUAGGGGGAAAUCAGAUUUUCAACAUUUUGAUGCCAGAUUUAUAUAAAAUAUAUGCAACAACUUUUCCACCGAUAGGUUUAACAACCAAUCAACAAAGCAUACCAACUUCUGGCACUUUAAUAAUCAUGGUUUGUGUUUUGAACAAACAGAAAAUAAAUCCCUCCCUACCUUGUAGACUUAGCCAGUAUUGAAGGCUUGGCUUGACAAUCUCUUAGUGUCAUUAAACGUUCUGGUGUUUUGUAACAAUGUCUCCUUUCAUUCAUCAAUUGGCCACUGCACAGUUUGGAUUGAUUGAUUAAUUCAUUUUAAUUGUAUGUAAAUAAAAUACAUAUAUACACAUAAUUGUUUUAAAUGACUGGGAUUGUACAAUAAAGUCUGGGACUUAUUUC